CAUCACUGUCAGUUUGGUCAUUCUCUAAUGUCUGGUCAGCUUGUAGUUCUUGAGUAUCUGAGAGGGAGAAUGGAGAAACAAAUGUGGUGACAGGAGAAGGAAGGAUGUGCUCUUAUGCCAUCAAAAACUUGAAAGUCAGAAGAGAUUAUGAGGUAAAGCCUACUUUGUUGAAGUACCCUCUGAGUGCUCUGCAACAGAAAUUGUCUGAGACUUUGCUCCCUGGAAAAUUUACAUCUGUGCUGCCAGUUCUCCAUGUCCUGGCUGCCCCAUGCUAGCUUUGCUCCCUGCUUUCCUUGCAAGCCUCUCAUGUCCAGUGAAUAACCACAUGCAAAUCCUGCCUUCAAUUGAACAUCUGAAUUAUGAGCUGGUGAUUGCAAAGACCACGAAGGAGAAGAAGACACUGAAGGUGGCCCUCCAGUUCCAGUCAUUCUGACCUGAAGAGCAGAGUAUUGGAAUUGCAUGUAUCUGGUCACAGAAUAAGCUGGUGUGAAACAAUGCGGAAUACAUGAUGAUUUGACAUCGAAAUCCAACCAAAUAUGAACAUCUGCACAAUAAGGACAUUGGGCUCUUCCACCUUGUCAUGCCUGUCAUCUCCAGAAGACUUUUCAAGGUUUGUUACUGAGUGCUGUACCAAUAAGAUGAACAUUCUUCAGAGAUCACACGGUUUGAGUAAUCACUGUCAAAUAACUCAUGAGGAUGUUGAACAUGGGGAGCAUCACCUUCUAUAUGAAAGAGCACAGCAGCAUCAGGCACUACAAGCAAGACAGGACUUAAUUGAUACCCAGUUACAACAGAUGAAAGAGAUCACUUAUUGACUGUAAUAUGUUGUUGAUUGAUAAAUGGUCCAUUUUUGUUCUGAGAGCAGCUUGUGUUUGCUUUUUAUUUGUUUUUUUUCUGUUGAUGAAUAA